rnacentral:tRNA from 1 species
GUCCCUGUAGCGCAAUGGACAGCGCGUUGUACUGCUAAUCCAAAGGUCGUGGGUUCGAAUCCCACCUGGGACG